GUGAGCUUGAUGAUAUGGACUGUGUAGUAGAUGUCUGACAAGCAGGACUAUUUGGUGCCUUGUCUUCUGUGAUAGGCAUGUGGACAUCCCGAAUUACAGUCAAUGGAGGUUCGAUAUUUAACCGCUGGGCAGUUUUUCAAACUGAUGACCUCCUUCAAAAGGAAAAGUGGCUUUUGCCGGGACCCAAGCUUGGUCUAUGAUCUCCCCGAACAUCCUGACGAAAUAGAGACGGCAUGGCCGACGACUGGGGUCUGCAAGAAAAUGUCAUUAUUCUGUGAUAAUAUGACAAUGAGCUCUAAGAAUUUUUUUUACAUUGAAGACAUUUUGGUUUCCAUGAUAAUAAUGCUAAAUAUUUUGUAACAUGCUAAAUAGAAAUAUAAAUAAUAACAUGUGCAUUUACUUUCUUGAACACGGCAAAAACAAAAUAUCUACACUGUGUGUCGUCUGUCUUGCAAAAUACAUGUGGAAGAACUUCUAUUGCUUUUAGAACAAAAUCGGUCUGCAGACACUCUAAAUUCUAAGUAAAAGUUGAACAAGUGCAUAAAUAAUAACCACAUUAUGUCAAUAAAAUGUCUCAUUAUGAAUGUCAUCUCACCCAUGUGAAAUUAAGCAUCCACUAUGAAUAGUCAUACAAAAGGGGUUAAAACAAAAGAGAUCACCUUUCAUUUUGGUGUGGACUUCAAUCUGUGGGUCAAUGGUUACAUGACAGGGCCACCAGGGUCUGCGGUUGAAUUUGGCCCACACGACAUCUUCAGCAGAGUACUUUAUACCGGGGAGCUGCUUCUUCUUUGGGCUGUUGGACUUUAGGUUAUGAUAAAAAGUUGUCAGUUUAAUCAUCAUUCGUUAAACAUCAUUAACAUGAGUCAAGACAGCUUGAGUUGUUUGUUUAGGCUACUCUUGAAAUUGUAUUUGCGCAUAUUAUUUAUAAUUAUUACAGUUCGCAUUGAUUGAUGUUAUUGUCAUUGUCUGAAGCGACUGCAUGCCAUAUUUUCACAGUAGAUGAAAAUAAACAGCCUGAAAACCCUAUAAAACUAAAAAACUUUUAUUGCUUUUUCUAUAGUAUUAAGCCUCAGUUGCCAACUAUACAUUGGAUUGGUUUCUGCUUUAAAAAAUUAAAAAAUAAAAUUAAAAAAGUAUCACUAUGCUUAUUAUAAUGUUAUUAUAAUUAAGCAUGCAGAAUAACAUAAAUGGACUUUAAAAGGAUGAACUGCCACUUUUAAUGAUUACAUAAUUGUGGCAUAUCCAUAUUGUGAUCACGAUUAAAAAUGUGGUUAAUUGUGUAGCCCUAACUUAACUGCAACCCACGAGCGAGUGAAAUAUUGAUCUAGUCCAUACUACAGCCUUUGUCCUUCCCGUGACAAAGAUCAUGGUCAGCUUAGUUUCACAAAAAUAAGUACGAACCAGCAAGCACUUAGUGUACACCUUUGCUCCACUGGGAAAAAUAAGCUCCUACUCAACUGUGGUUCAAGAGCUGUUCAUCUUGAGGGAGGCUAAUACAAAUGACUUCCAUCUAUGACAGCUUGUACUUUAAAAACAACUGGGCAAUACCAACUGUAAAUAAACAUGCGUCAGCCUACAAGUAGCAAAUAUUUUGUUGGGAGUGGAAGUGUGUAAUUUCUACACUGUAAAUGUCAUUGAACUGAAUUUCAAAAAUAAUGAUAGUUUUCAAACAAGUUAGCCAAAUGUUGUUGUGGCAAAGCAAUGUUUUGAUGGUGCCAGUGUUUUGAGUUUGUACAUGUUAAGAUGAGAAAAAAGAAAGAAUACACUUUUAAUUGCUAAGGUACCAUGCAAUUACUAUGUUUAUAUAAAUAAGGUGCUACUCAUUAGCCCUUAUGUCAUAUAUAAUGCACUGUUUAUGAAAUAAAUAAAUGGUAUUUUAUAGUGA